rnacentral:rRNA from 1 species
GGGCCCGCACAAGCAGCGGAGCAUGUGGUUUAAUUCGAAGCAACGCGAAGAACCUUACCUAGACUUGACAUCUCCUGCAUUACUCUUAAUCGAGGAAGUCCUUUCGGGACAGGAUGACAGGUGGUGCAUGGUUGUCGUCAGCUCGUGUCGUGAGAUGUUGGGUUAAGUCCCGCAACGAGCGCAACCCUUAUUGUUAGUUGCUACCAUUUAGUUGAGCACUCUAGCGAGACUGCCCGGGUUAACCGGGAGGAAGGUGGGG